CGGGACGGGUGAGUAAUGUCUGGGAAACUGCCUGAUGGAGGGGGAUAACUACUGGAAACGGUAGCUAGUACCGCAUAACGUCGCAAGACCAAAGUGGGGGACCUUCGGGCCUCUUGCCAUCGGAUGUGCCCAGAUGGGAUUAGCUAGUAGGUGGGGUAACGGCUCACCUAGGCGACGAUCCCUAGCUGGUCUGAGAGGAUGACCAGCCACACUGGAACUGAGACACGGUCCAG
rnacentral:rRNA from 1 species